rnacentral:rRNA from 1 species
GUAAGGAAUAUUGGACAAUGCCCGCAAGGGUGAUCCAGCCAUGCCGCGUGCAGGAAGACGGCCCUAUGGGUUGUAAACUGCUUUUACACCGGAGAAAACCCCGCUACGUGUAGCGGGCUGAUAGUAUGGUGAGAAUAAGCAUCGGCUAACUUCGUGCCAGCAGCCGCGGUAAGACGAAGGAUGCAAGCGUUAUCCGGAUUCAUUGGGUUUAAAGGGAGCGUAGGUGGCCUUAUAAGUCAGUGGUGAAAUCUUCGAGCUUAACUCGGAAAUUGCCAUUGAUACUGUAGGGCUUGAGUACAGUUGCUGUGGGCGGAAUAUGACAUGUAGUGGUGAAAUACAUAGAGAUGUCAUAGAACACCGAUUGCGAAGGCAGCUCACAAAGCUGUAACUGACACUGAGGCUCGAAAGUGCGGGGAUCAAACAGGAUUAGAUACCCUUGUAGUCC